rnacentral:lncRNA from 1 species
UUUUGCUGGAUAAUUCAUAGUAUUCAUCACAUAGACUUUUUAGUCAAUGAUUUUUGCCGUCAGCAAAGUGUUCUACUUCUCAGGCUUUAAAAUGCAAGCCCCAAAUCUGUAACUAUCAGAUUCUCUAGGGCCUAGAGUAAAUACAUUGAUUGCAUUGGUUUUAAAAAGAAGACCAUAAAUUCUUUGACACAGCAAGUGUUUCUAUGUUAAAACGGUUGCUGUCUUAGAAUACUCCCUCUCAGCUUGUGUUUUCUUAGAACCUAGCCACCAUUCUGAGAGAAAGCAAAGCCUCAUGGAGAGGCUAUAUGUAGGUGUUCUGGUCAACAGUCCCAGCUGGGCCCAGCCUUCAAAUCAUUCCAGACAGUCAUCCUGGACCUGCAAGAGUCAUACACAGCGCCAGAGGGGAGAAAACUGGAUAGAACCAUUUGACUGAAUGCCCAUGUCGAAGGUCAAGAGGAAAGAGCUGGGACACUGUGUGGAAGGGUCAGGAAUAAAUGAAAAGUGAAGACGGAGAGACUCCAGAGAGGAGGGACCAGAUAGACUGAUAGGAGACUGAAGGAGGAAAAUUAAUUUUACAGCAACUUCUAGACUUAAUGGAUAGGCCUUUCUAUCUAAAAAAUAUGUAAAUCAUAUAUACUACCAUAUGUCAGGCAUUUACCUGUUUAGGAGAGACCAGUUCACACAAAUGCCAAUACUCCACGCUUAGAAGGCAUACAGGAGUGAAAUAAAU